rnacentral:hammerhead_ribozyme from 1 species
GCACUGCUGACGAGAUCCGAACAGGUCGAAACAGCUGUCCAGUAC